AGCAGCCGCGGUAAUUCCAGCUCCAAUAGCGUAUAUUAAAGUUGUUGCAGUUAAAAAGCUCGUAGUUGAAUUUCGGGAUUGACGUGAUGGUCAUGCCUUAAGGGGUAUGAACUGUUGCUGUUGAUUUCUCACCUUCUGGAGAAACUUGAUGUCCUUUAUUGGGUGUCUUGCGGAUCCAGGACCUUUACCUUGAAAAAAUUAGAGUGUUUAAAGCAGGCAUUUUUGCUCGAAUACAUUAGCAUGGAAUAAUAGAAUAGGACGGCAUGGUUCUAUUUUGUUGGUUUCUAGGAUCACCGUAAUGAUUAAUAGGGAUAGUUGGGGGCAUUAGUAUUCAAUUGUCAGAGGUGAAAUUCUUGGAUUUAUUGAAGACUAACUACUGCGAAAGCAUUUGCCAAGGAUGUUUUCAUUAAUCAAGAACGAAAGUUAGGGGAUCGAAGACGAUCAGAUACC
rnacentral:rRNA from 1 species